rnacentral:rRNA from 1 species
AUGGACAGAUAUUCGGGGUCCCUCAUAAGUAUGGAGCCCCAAUUAGGAAUCAGCAAGGGGACGGGGAGGGAUUCCAGCAAGGAGCCGGCGAGAGACGUCGGCGGCAUGGAGAUUGGUCACGACGACUCGGUUGUUGCUCUUUCUAGCCACCUUGAGAUGCUUAGGAGGGAGAUCUCGUUUCUGAUGAGAGAGGUCACGUCCAGGGGGUUGUUGCCUGCUGGAAAGAAGAAGGUUUCUCAAGAGCAGAUCUCCAGCUUGUCCGUCCAGUUCAAGGAGAUGCGCACGCAACAACUCAAGGAGGUGAAUUUGCCUUACCUAGGUUGCAAUACUGGGGAGGAGGUAAUGGAUUUUCUCUUGGUCGAGACGCAGCAGCUGCUCUUCCGCUUCACCUCUCUCGCAUCCACUCUAAAAACAUUCAGAGUCCCCAUCUCACCGGACAAGGUUGAAAAGCUGCGCCGCAUAUCCACUGCGCUUGUGGGCAUAUCGGAGCUUAUAAAGAGCCACAAAUCUGCUGCUCAAAUGGACGUUGAAGAUUGUUUGGACCGUGACGGCUGGGAGGCUACGUGGGGCAGCCGGACCGGAAGAAACGGUGGAUUUGAUGACAUAACAACAUUGAGUUCUAUGCACUUCACGGCCUCCACGCCCGAAAACUUCCGGUUCCCUUCCGUAGCUGGCCCUGCCUUGCAAGUAUACUCGAUCAAACUGGUUGAUCUCAAUCCUAAUCUGAGCUGGCCUCUUGAUGUCUACGGCGUGGUCGCCGCACGGGACGAUCUUGACCACAACCGCAACAUUCUCUUCUGCCGUUCAGGGGAAAACUGCCAAAGAAUUAAGCAAGAGGUAUGUAUAAUGUCUAUCUUCUCGUCUAUUUUUUGA